rnacentral:rRNA from 1 species
CCUACGGGAGGCAGCAGUGAGGAAUAUUGGUCAAUGGGCUUACGCCUGAACCAGCCAAGUCGCGUGAGGGAAGACUGCCCUAUGGGUUGUAAACCUCUUUUGUCAGGGAGUAAUUGGCGCUACGUGUAGCGUUAUCGAGAGUACCUGAAGAAAAAGCAUCGGCUAACUCCGUGCCAGCAGCCGCGGUAAUACGGAGGAUGCGAGCGUUAUCCGGAUUUACUGGGCGUAAAGCGCUCGUAGGCGGUAUGUCAAGUCAAGGGUGAAAUCCCCGCGCUCAACGUGGGAACUGCCUUUGAAACUGGCAAACUGGAGUGUGUGAGAGGAUAGUGGAAUUCCAGGUGUAGGAGUGAAAUCCGUAGAUAUCUGGAGGAACAUCAGUGGCGAAGGCGACUAUCUGGCACAUAACUGACGCUGAGGAGCGAAAGCGUGGGUAGCAAACAGGAUUAGAUACCCGAGUAGUC